rnacentral:piRNA from 1 species
AAAAGUCUGUUAUUUAAGAGGAA